rnacentral:tRNA from 1 species
GUCUUUGUAGUAUAUAAAAUACCUUGGUCUUGUAAACCAAAAAAGGAGAUCACACACCCUCCCUAAGACU